GAUGAACGCUGGCGGCGUGCUUAACACAUGCAAGUCGAACGAAGCACUUAAGAUUGCUUCUUCGGAUGACGUCUUUUGUGACUUAGUGGCGGACGGGUGAGUAACGCGUGGGUAACCUGCCUCACACAGGGGGAUAACAGUUAGAAAUGACUGCUAAUACCGCAUAACCCGAUAGGAUCGCAUGAUCCAGACGGAAAAGAUUUAUCGGUGUGAGAUGGACCCGCGUCUGAUUAGCUAGUUGGUGAGGUAACGGCCCACCAAGGCGACGAUCAGUAGCCGGCCUGAGAGGGUGAACGGCCACAUUGGGACUGAGACACGGCCCAAACUCCUACGGGAGGCAGCAGUGGGGAAUAUUGCACAAUGGGGGAAACCCUGAUGCAGCGACGCCGCGUGAGUGAAGAAGUAUUUCGGUAUGUAAAGCUCUAUCAGCAGGGAAGAAAAUGACGGUACCUGACUAAGAAGCCCCGGCUGACUACGUG
rnacentral:rRNA from 1 species